GGAAGGUGGGAAUACUCCGUGCUGAGGAAACUACACCAGUACGUGUCUACUGUCGGCAAGAAAACAGAAAAAUCUAGAGGUCAGGAACUCGCAAUUGAAGGGAGAAUCCAUGUGCUUGCCUGCAGAGAUCUUAAGCAGGGAAAGGCCCCCGGACAACUGCUUCCUCGGCUUCCUCACUCUCUGGCUUGCACCUCUCGAGUUGUUUCUUCCCAGAAGCCCUUUUUAGAACAGCGCCUCACUGCUUACAAUAGAAAGCAAUGUUGGGUGAGCAUUGCAGAGCCUCAUAGCCCUUUAUCCUGCACGUGUGGUGGGUCCUGCCAGCCUACCCACUUGAGUGUUCUGCCAAGACGCUGACUGCUACGGGCCUCACAGGAUAAGGAACACCGCUGACCGUCAGUCAUGGUGGACCAUGCUAAGAGUGCAUAACCAUCAGGACUGCACGUGCCAACCCUGAAAUCAAGCAACCAGACCCACAAGCAAAUGGGGACGUCAGAGUUAAUUACAGUGAAAAGAAAGGAGGAGGCUGAGCUGGUUGUACAAUACUCACACCGGUUUGCAACUGGAUGCUUCCAACAAGUCACUUUGGAAGGUCACAGGCAGAGGAGGAGAUCAAGACUAGAACAUUCAUCUUCAGCAACUACAGCAAAAUCCUGGAGCCAUAUUUUCAUGUGCCCAUCAUCUUCAGAGAUUAAAGGAGUCCAGGAGCAAGCCUGUGCUAACAGGGGCAUUAGGGGAGAUGAGGCAGGGGCCGAAACAGAUGGAAGAAGGCCAUUCCCUUGGGCGAGUUAGAGUGUGUGGGUUUCUCUGUGAAAGAUCCGCACCUGCACCUGCAGUGCUCUUAGACCCACCUGCCAUCAUCACAAGGCAUCAUGGUGGAGGUCGAGAUAAACCAUCCUGACCUCACUAGGCUCAAAGGCGGCUGGGACUGACAAGCCUGUAGCCUGGCUUACACCACCUAUGAAAACGGGAGCAGGAUGACAUUCUCCGAUCGACUGUCCAGUUCUCCUUUAUCUCUUCUUGGGGGCAUUUGGAGACUUGCUGUGGUUAUUUACGGUUUGGUUCAAUCCAGACUCCACACUCUUCUUGAUUAGAAAGUUAAGCUUCUCUCCUUCUUCCCCUAAUUCCCCUCACAGACACAUUCUGCCUCCAAAACAAAUGCUUCCCAGUAGCUUUGUUCUGCAGUUGCCCUUAACGAGACUACCAAAGGCCCAAGUGCCUCUGAUGGCAUGGGAAAACGAACAUGCUAUUUUCCCUGGGAUCGGCCUCAGCUGUGGGCUCUGCAGACACCAAUGACAUUUUCCUCGGGCUGCUGCAAAGAUGAUGUGAGAAUGACCACAGAGCAAGAGCACCAGGUAGCCUGACACAAGGAAGUAGUCCUAUGGGGCCAGAGAGGUGGCUGACUGGGUAAGACUGCUGUUCCAAGGGUUCAGAUCCCAGCACUCACAUCAGAUAGCUCACAACCAUCUGUGACUGCACUUUCAGAGGCUCCAACUCUUGCCUCUGCAGGUGCCCGCACAUAUGUGAGACACACUCUCUCCCUAGCCUCCAACACACACACACACACACACACACCACACACACACACACACACACACGAGGAGGGGGGGAUAAAAGUAAAUCUUUCUUGGGGGAGACUCCCUCUGGAGCUCUCAGGGAGGGAGGAACCGCUGAACAUACACAUCAAAGCAAGUGCAGGUGACGCCAUCACAAGUCCCAUCUUGAGCCAAGGUAGUGGUGUCACGAUGAUAAAUAGUGGUGUGGAAUGGCAGGAUGAUAAGGGGAGCCGAUUACCAUCAAACAUACUCAUCCGUUUAAUUAGCAAGUCUGAAAGGCCCUCCCCACCCCAGCUGGUGAGUUGGGAUGGUGACCCACAUUUCGAUGAAUAACAGACACCGCUGUGGGACAUUGUUGUGUUCUCAGGGCCAAUGAACCAUUUUCAGGUACAACUUAUUUUUUCUUCUCUGUUCUGGAUAGGAAUGCAACUUGAAUGUAGGAACACAAGAACAAAGUAAACUGGAAACAAGGCAAAAGAAAGAGCCCUUUCUUCUUGACUAAAGCUAGGUUUGGCUUGGUUCUCUUUUGGAAAAUCUCCAUAUUCUGAAGCCAGGCACUCGAGAGAGGCACAGCUCCACAAGGCAGGGAACAGUGAGGGUAGAAGAGAAAGGGACCUGAAUUCAUGCUGCAAUUUCUUUUAAAGGAUUUAUCUAUUUUAAGUGAGAACACUGUUGCUCUCUUCAGACACACCAGUAGAGGGCAUCAGAUCCCAUUACAGAUGGUUGUGAGCUACCAUGUGGUUGCUGGGAAUUGAACUCGGGACCUCAGGAAGAGCAGUCAGUGCUUUUAACUGCUGAGCCUUCUCUCCAGCCCCAUGCUGCAGUUUUUCCAGUGUUCCCAUGGGAGGUGUGUAUUCUGCACACUCAGUAUGACAGGCAGUGUAGCACUGUAGUUAGUUAUGAGGUUGUGCUUAAAGGCUCCAAUAGUCAGGUGGAGCUCUAGCCCACUAAUGUCCAGUUCUGUGACUUCUGAACAACGUGUCCAACUGCCUUAGCUUCAGUUAACCCAUCUCUAAAAGGUACAUUCCUAUCUGCCACAAACGGGAUCACUAAGUGAGUUAAUACUUGGUGGCUAAUAAGUGGUAUUUUCUGGCCAUUUUCAAUGUCGGGAAGAUCAUAGCCUGGUCCUGAGAUCCACUGAGUUUCCAAAUGAUGAUCUGCUUUUCCACUGAGACAUGAUGUCAGCUAAGAAGAAAUAUAAGAGGGAACAGUUAUUUAUAGAGUUCCUGGAUUCUUAGAAGAUCUUGCCCAUGACAGAAACCAUUGUAAUCUUGUCUGAGCUGUCCUUUCAUUAUUGCCUAAGGCCUGCUGGUAGCAUCUGGGAAUUUGGGUGUUCCAUAGUAAUCUCCUUUGAACUAAAAAAUUCCAUCAGGGAGAGAAGCUCAUUAAUACUCAGGAAGUGUGUGUGUGUGUGUGUGUGUGUGUGUGUGUGUGUGUGUGUGUGUGCACAUGUGUGCAUGUUUGUGUGGAUGGGUUUGCUACAUGCAGGCAAUGUCAGUGGAGGACACAAGAUGAACUGCCUGAUGUGGGUGCUAAGAACUGCUUGCCUCUGCAAGAGCAGCAAGUGCUCUUAACUGCUGAGGCAUCUUUCCAACACUUAGAAAGUUUUAAAGGUAGGUUGUUUGAGACUGAGGAAAUAAACAACUCAGAAAUCUCAGGAAAUCCAUGAAGUUUAUCAAAUUCAUAAGGCUCCUUCCUCCCUGUGGUUGUACAUGCAGUAAGAACUGCUGAGGGGAAGAGACUCUCACCUGUCAAGCUGGCUACAAAUUGUGCAGAGAGCUCCAGGGUCCCAGCUUUUGUGAAUCUUCAUUCAUGCUGGGUGGGCUUUGGUGAUGAGGCUGCCUUUAAGUCACCCUACUUCUACAAGAAUUCUUUCACCCAUAUUCCUUUAAGUAACACCAUAAAAUCUCAUUUGUUUACCAAGUUGGGCUUUGGUGGCAUUAUUACUUUGAUCUGUUACCAGUUCCCUAUCUGAGGUGAGUAGACUUUUGUUCAUAUCUUCCCCAAAAUAGUUUCACAUAACACUGAGCUUCUAGGCUUUAGAGCAGUGAUAAAGGCAAAUUCCUAGCAAAUGAUGCUUAUGUCAGAGCAAGCUAGACUGAAACCGUGAGUAACCUUGAUGAUAGAGAAAACAAAGUUUGGGAAAUUGAUCUGAAUCACUGAUAUGUAUCUCUCAUGUCAACAGUAGCUUCGUUUCUUGCUUUAACCCAAAGAAAUGAGAAACUCCACAAGAUCCAAUUUAUCCUUAGCUGUUCUGUCUUUUAGGACCCAUUGGAACCACACACAGAACUAGAUUUUACCAUGGUCUUCUCUUUCUGCAAACUUCAAUCCUCUGUCCUUCUCCAUGUGUCUAGAUAGCCUUCCCAGGUCACUUUCCUCCUCUAGCCACACACCAAGGACUAGUUUGUUGUAGAUCCAGCAUCAAGAUUUGUUCUUGUCUGUGAUGGUGUGAAUGAGAAGUGUCUUCUAUAGGCUCGUGUAUGAACAUCUGGCAUCCUGUCAGUGGUGCUGUUUGGGGUGGGAGUAGGGUUAUAGAACGCUUAAGGGUUGUAGAGCCUGGCUACAGGAAAUGCAUCACUGAAGUAUGUUUUGAGUAUUUGUAGCCUCGCCCAACUUCCUGUUCCCUCUAUCUGCUUCCUGUGUGUAGAUGAAAUGUGACCUCUCUGAUUUCUAACAGCCAGUCCAGCUGCAUGUUCCUGCCUCUGUGCCUUCCCCAGCACAGUGGACCCUAUCCCCCCGGAACUAGAAGCAAAUCCUUUCUUCGUCAACUUGAUCUUGUCAGAUUAUUUUAUCACAGCCUUAGGAAGGUAACUAACACACCAUCUGUCCUCAGCUUUAGCAAGCUGCUUCUCUGAUCUCGGAUCCACUCUGCCUCCAAGAUAGGUCACACAGCCCACACUUGGCUGUUCCUCUGGCAACAGAGAUUGUCCACAGAGUGGUCCCAGACUAGAGCAGGAACAAUUGGAAUCUUAUAGGAGUACUGGCAAUUGGCUCCUUGUGUGACAAAGCCAAGAGGUGCGACUCUGGGCUGUUGUUGACUUCUAGGCACUGUCACACACAGGAGUAGAUUCCAUUUGUUCUAAGAGCUUUCUGGGCUCCUAAACUGUAACUUGUUUCUUUACAUAGGCCGAGAGGCUCCUGUCACUCACUCUAGGGUUGCUAACACUGUAGAUGCUUCUAGAAGACUCUGCCCAGUGUGACUCCUGAUUUCUCCCUCCGCCCUCCUUUUCCCUCUCUAACAUAUGACACACUUUCCACUCUGUGCUAGCAGUCCCACGGGUCCCUUAGUUUCAACAUCUCUAAACUUGUCUUAACUGCUCACCUUUUUGUGGUCUUCACCUGUGGUGCUGUCUUCCUGUGUCCCUAGACCUUCCCCCUGCUCCCAACCCCAACCAUGUCAGCCCCUAACUCUCACUGCUGUUUCUUGCAUGCUCUCUUAUAGCUGUCCUUGUAUCUCCCUGCCAAGGGGGUGAGUCUGGGGUUCUGUUUUGUUGUUUUUAUGUGACCUUAACUCAAUUCUUCAGUUCUCGAUUCUGCUGACAUGUUAUAACCAGAAAGGGCAACUUCCUUGGGAAGAGAGUCUGGUGACCCCAGGCCUGGGCUCUGCACAGCAGCUGACACUGGGCCUUUAAUUUGAAGAUACAUUUCUCACCUCCAGGAUUCCUGUCUUCCAAGGCCCAUCACCUCCUCUGCUCACCCACCUCAGCCCUUUGCUCUGGGCUUUGCUUCUCCUCUGUGCUCCAGUUUGAUCUGAAUGUUGGCACCACCUGAAAAUUCAUAUGUUGAAACCUGGUGCGGGAUACAAUAGUAUCAAGAGGUGGGAGGGGUUUUCUGUGUGUGGGUAAGUCAGAAGGUUCCUCCCUCAUAAAUUAUACAGAGGAUGGCACUUUUGUCUUAGACGACUCAGACUCAAGCACUGGGACUUCUGUUAUUGUAAAUUAUCCUUCCUUCUCCUCUUCCUCUCCCCGCCCCUUCUUGUGUAUGAACUGCCAAAGUGAACAGGGAAGUAUUCUGUCAAAGUGGCCUGAAUAGGCGAAGAAGCUGCUCAAACUCUGCUUUCCCCCAAAGAACCUUC